GAUGAACGCUGGCGGCGUGCCUAAUACAUGCAAGUCGAGCGAACAGACGAGGAGCUUGCUCCUCUGACGUUAGCGGCGGACGGGUGAGUAACACGUGGAUAACCUACCUAUAAGACUGGGAUAACUUCGGGAAACCGGAGCUAAUACCGGAUAAUAUAUUGAACCGCAUAGUUCAAUAGUGAAAGACGGUUUUGCUGUCACUUAUAGAUGGAUCCGCGCCGCAUUAGCUAGUUGGUAAGGUAACGGCUUACCAAGGCGACGAUGCGUAGCCGACCUGAGAGGGUGAUCGGCCCCACUGGAACUGAGACACGGUCCAGACUCCUACGGGAGGCAGCAGUAGGGAAUCUUCCGCAAUGGGCGAAAGCCUGACGGAGCAACGCCGCGUGAGUGAUGAAGGUCUUCGGAUCGUAAAACUCUGUUAUUAGGGAAGAACAAAUGUGUAAGUAACUAUGCACGUCUUGACGGUACCUAAUCAGAAAGCCACGGCUAACUACGUG
rnacentral:rRNA from 1 species